rnacentral:rRNA from 1 species
GAUGAACGCUGGCGGUAUGCUUUACACAUGCAAGUCGUACGAGAGUUUGUAACUCAAGUGGCGGACGGGUGAGUAACACGUAAGAAUUUGCCUUUAGAAGGGGGACAACAACUGGAAACGGUUGCUAAUACCCCAUAUGCUUUCGAGUGAAAUGGUUUUUCCGCCUAAAGAGAAGCUUGCGGCUGAUUAGCUUGUUGGUAAGGUAAUGGCUUACCAAGGCGACGAUCAGUAUCUGGUUUGAGAGGACGAUCAGACACACUGGAACUGAGACACGGUCCAGACUCCUACGGGAGGCAGCAGUGGGGAAUUUUCCGCAAUGGGCGAAAGCCUGACGGAGCAAUACCGCGUGAGGGAUGAAUGCCUAUGGGUUGUAAACCUCUUUUUUCAGGGAGGAACAAAAUGAC